GCCAUAGGGGCUGCAUCUGCUGUGGCUGCUAGAAGAAAGUUUGACCUCCCGGAAAACGUCCUAGCAACUUGAUCGAAAAGUGACCUAUAACCAAACACAAAUUAACAGCAGCAGCAGCAGCAGCAACAGCAGCGCUGGAUUAUGAUAACUUGGAGUGCUGGAGAAAGGAAGCUGAGAGAGGAACUGCUUGCAGCAGGAAGUAGAGGUCAACACAAGAUUUCGGGGGUUUUGCUCUCUAAUGGACCCACAUGAGGUUUGAUGGACCAGAAGUCCAUCAUGAUCCACAAACAUCUGGAAUAAUGACCGGAGUCUCGGACUAAGGACAUGGAAUACAUUCUGCUGAUCUCAGAGGUAACCGAACUCGCUCCAUUGUUACAUGGCCUGCUCUGUGCAUCCUUUUCCUCAGAACAUUUGAUAUGGAGGUGUCUGUAAGACACUUUUGAGUGACAUUGCCUCUGUCAAAUGGCUGAUUGAAGGAGACACAGAGAGAAAUGCUGUGCUAAUGAAAUCAUCUGACCCACAUCCUUUCGUGCUAUCCAUUUCUCCAAAGACACAGAAAGGGCAUUUAUACAGGUAAACCAUGACUGGUCCCUGAAGUGAAAGAGGGGGUUUUUCAGAAGGAAGAGGAGCAUCCAUUAUUUACUAUACUGAGGUUGCUAGACACUUAAGAGAUAAUGCAGUGCUUCAAGCAUACAAAACAUAGAGCCUCCUUGGUGCUGGUGAGGCCAUUGUUGUGUGUUUUGAACAUGUCUGUUUCCAUCCAUACUGACAGAUGAAAAAGAAUGUGUCUCCCAAAGGUUCAGAAGCUUGGACAGAGAUAGACAGAGAACGGAGGAGAGGCAGGCAAUGGGAUGGUGGAGAGAUGUGUUUGUGUGUGUGUUACAUCUCUGUGGAUGUUCGUUUUUGUGUCUGUGCAUCUGUAUGUCUGUUUAUUACCCCCAGUUUGUUUUUCGGUAUCUGCUCAUGCACUUAUAUGUUGAAAAACAUAUCCAGUCAUAGACUGCAUAAUGCAAAAUAAACAGUCUUAUUUAGUGCAUGUGCCUGUCUAUACAUACAUCAUGUUCCUGCUGACUUUGUAUAAAUAUUCUCUUCCAGUUCUAAUAGACUUCAGUCAGGUCUUAUUCUCUAUAGAUUAGCAGCAUCACUUUCUCCCUCCUGGAGACUGGAAGCAUCUGACUGUUGUCUACUGGGAGUAGUUAGCAGAAGGAGACUAAGGCAUAAAACUCCUCCUACAACUUGGGGCAACACCAGAUACUACUUUCUGCCUUUGUCAAUUUCCUGGGGGACACUUUGACAUGAAAUCCUUUUUAUUUUUUUGUGGAAGAGGAGAGAGCACUCCCCAAAAUUCCAGUGUUUUUCUGCAUAAAUGCGCAUUGUGAUGGAGAGCACGACAACUAUACAUGUUUACAGAUCCGCUCAGGGAAAUUCCAAGUCACCGAACAAUAUCCGUAAACUAAAAUAUAGAUGUGUGCAUGUGUGUGUAUUUUAUAACAUAAAUGAUGAAAAUAAUGACAAGGGGACCUAUUAUGCUCAUAUUUCAAUGCUUAUGCUAUUAUGCUCAUAUUUGGAAUCUACUAGUGUUUAUGGCUAAAACAUAUUGGUUCAGUCCCUGAAUUCAACCUCUGUAUAAUAAAAAAGAAAAAAAAUGUUUUUAACUCCUCUCCCUUUAAGGCCAACCUCCUUUUAAAUAAACUGUCUUCUGAUUGGCUACUCCUCACAAGCAGAAAGCAGGCCAGGCUGCUGUGCUAACAGCCAAAGAUGUUGGACUGAGGUGACCGCAUUAAGGAUGAUAUCAUUGUCUUUGACAUCACAUAGAUCCAAGACUGCAACAAAACUUGCACUUUCACUGUUUGAGACUUUGGCCAUCAACCAGUAUCAUAAAGCUAAAAAUGGGAAGAUCAUAUUUCACAACUCUUGGGUCUGCUUUCUCAAAAUGUCUCUCUCUGAAUUUUACAGUCAAUGAAAUGUUACGACAACCAAGAAAACGAAGGCUAAAACUAUUAAAAAUGCCCUAGUUCGUAAAAGAUGCAAAACUCUCUUUGGGACAUUUGAAAUAAUAAAGUUAUAAGAACAUAUUACAAUAUUUUACCCUUUAAGUAUUCAUCUUGAAGCACGAGUUUUCACAGUGUGCUUCAUCUCAGUCUUUCUGUUUUUUCUUGAAAUAUUUUACACUUUGGUUGAAAGUUUUUGAAAGAGGCAAAUACAGCGGAUCAUCCUUAUAGGCAUAAAACUGCAGUGUCAGCAGAGGACAUCAGGAGGAUGCAUAGAAAGGCACAUGUAGUUUUGACUGCGAUCAGCUGCCACAAACAGACAGGCAGGCAGUGUUUGCCCUUGAGGAGUUGUGAACAGACAGGGUGGUGUGUUUGAGUUGUCUGAAUCCACCUCCCUUCAUCUUUUGGAGUCAGGCUGAGUUGGACUGCUGAUGGCCCAGGGACCCCAUGCCAGCCCUGAACUAUUUUGUACUGUCAGCCAAACAUCAGACAAACUUGUUCAAGGAAACAUGUCUGGCCAAAACACUACAUCCAUAAAUUCUUGUUUUCUCUGGAAAAAAACGUUGGGGAGUUACUGAUUUAUUGCAGAUUGUAAAGGUGUAGUGCACUCUUACAGCUAUUUCAAGUGGUCAGUUAAAUCAGCAAACAGCAGUCACAGGUUCAUAAAAUGACAUGCUUUGUUGUCUUUGUAGUCUGAUGCAGCUGACGAGACACUCAGCCACCCUUACUGUCUCAAAUGACCCCAGCUGUUCUGUACAGCCUAUACAUUUGUAUUGGGCCCCUUAAUACCUUCCAUGCUUGUCAACGAGCUCUAUGGUUUCGAGGAAAUUUAAUACCAUAAUGUCUUUUUGGAGGAAGGGAGUGUCGGGUAUGGCAGGAGUAAUGGAGGAAAGGCUGGAAAUGCAGGUAACCCAGGUUAGGCUGAGGGUACAGGGAUCCGGUAAGGCGUUCCCCAGACCUUAGAGUCUUCUAGGCUUCUCUAUUAGAGAAUAAUAAGCAGCUGUAACCCUGAGACACUCCCAGGCCUGUGUCCUCAGCUACAAAAACCUCCACUGGGCUUCUUAUCAGGUUCUAAGGAUAUCAUGUAAGACAAUACAUGUGAGAAGUGCAGGGAGAACAAUAGGAGGAAAGUGCAGUGUGAUAUGAGGGGGACUAAUGUCAGCGGAUAUUGCUGAGGCCUUUGUCGCCUUCAAGUACACUGGGAACUCGCAGCUCACUGAGCUCCUUUCAUUCAAGGCUCAUGCUCUGGGAUGUGACGAAACUCUACAACAAAUGCCGUCCCUCACGCUUGAUGGCAAACUGUAAACACGGAGGUUAUGUGUUUGUUGUGUAUGAAGCAUAACUCACUCUUUCCCCAAUCUUGGUGGAAAAAUUGUGUUUACUGAAAGCUAAAGAGUAUUUCCUAAACGUUGUGUGCUGUACAUUUGUUUCCACGCAGCAUCAAUAUUUUUCUUUAAAACUGUAAUUAAUAAACUCCUGUGAUAAAAUCUAACACUGCUGUAAUGAUAAACUCAUAUUUCUCUUCUAUUUCUUUUUCUUUGUAUUUCUCUUUUUUUAGGUAAAUAAGUUAUCCUGAUUAAGAAGAACGGAGCCAAACUUUCAGCAAUACAGAGUCUUACAACAGCCUGAAAAUAGUACUUACUGUGCCUUUGUUCUGAUGGGUAUCAUAUUUUCUUUUCUUUUUUUUAAUGGAAAAACACUUCUUAAAAUAAGAUGAAAAUAUUCUACACAUUAAAACAUGUAUUUAUUUCAUGUCAGUGAUUGAAUUUAACAAGUAUAUUUUCUGACAGCUAAAUAAAGACUUUUUCCCCCAUAA
ensembl:lncRNA